GUGUGUGUUAAAAAGAGACCCUCAAAUGAUAAACAAGCUCUGGUCAAAAAAGCUGACAUCACUCCUGCUGCAUCUCACUAACACAUGACUGACGCCACUCUACUGUCCCACAAAGGAGGGGGAGGAAAACAGAGGAGAACCUCUUAAGUUUCCAGUCCAGUACAGAACUACCACUGAUAUGAGAGAGGACACAAGGAAGUGAGAGCAGUAAAGCAGAAAGAGAAGAAUUCUCCAGAAAACGCUGUGUCUUGCUCUCGCCGAGAGAAGCUUAGACCAAACAUAGAUUCUAUAGGGACACUGUUUUUUAGCUCAGAUUGUAGAACUUGAAGCCUAUCAUGAUGGAAGUGAUCCUGACUAGACUGAGAGAUUUCUCCUCUAAGGACGCCACCUUUGAUGCCUGUAAGUCAGCCGGGCCCGUUGUGUCCAGGGACCCACAGACCACCAGAGACCCCUGCCUGGAGGAAGAGCUCCAGAUGGAGGGCUGCAUUCCCGGAGAAUAGGGCAGCUGCCCCUACAAACUGGACUUUGAAAGUGCACUGGCCUGGCUGCACAGGGAACUGAUGAUCAUGGAAAAUGGAUUGCGAUUAUUCAGCACAUUUACUAUGGAAAUGCAAUCUCAGGACCAGGCCUUGAUACAAAAGCUGAUGGACCUUCACACAGCAAUCCAAGAGCUCAAGCUUGAGAGUGCCGAGGAGGAGGAGGAGGAAGAAGAGGAGAAGGAGGAGUAGGAAGAAAAGGAAUAGGAGGAUGAGGAGACAGAGGUGGCUAGGAGCUGGGGCUUUGAGAGCGAGGCAGGGGGCAGUGGUAGUAGUGUUUACUCCAGCUCAGGGGAAGUGGGAUUUUCCAUAUCCUGCCUGUCCACUAGAAUGACACCAUCUGCUCUUGGGUCAUCUCUACCAAAAAGGACUUUCAGCAGAAGAAGCUCUGUGCCUUAAUAAAACCACAAAAAGUACUCUCUUAUGGACUGACCACAUAGUCAAUGUCAGGCAUAUACCACAAUAUCAUCUAUAUCAUCUAUGCGCAUGUGCGUGUGAGAGAAUAAUUCAAUGUCUGAGACUGCAGAGCUUAAGUAAGCUGUGUAAUUUUAAACUCUAACUAGAUGGAAGAAACAACAACAGCUGCUAUCACUGUACAAAGGUCAUAAAGGUAUCAUAGUACAUUUAAGAGAGAAUAACCAUUAUUUAUGGUAGCAUAUUGCCUGUAAUGUCUCAACAAUUUCAAUAUCAUGACUGCAUAUCAUUCCAAUAAGCUCUAAUACUCUUCCAUAUUACUUGAAAUGGUCUGUUGUUACUGAAAUUGUCACGUUUCCUUAAGGGCAGGGAGAAGGGGCAGAGUCAAGAGCAGGAGACUGAGGUCCAAUAGUGCCGAAGUUUAUUUCCACCGAAACAAAGGUGGUCAAAAGGCACAGGGUGCGCACAACACCCAAACGGAAAAGGUUAUCCAAAAAUGAUAACGCACGGGGCGCAGCCCGGCAAUAAAAAUAUAGAAUGCAGCAUGCUGAAAACACAAAACCGUGUACACAAAAUCACUACCCGUCGACAUACAAAUAAUCCCGCACGAAUACAGAACACAAAGGAACAAACUAAAUACCCCCUCCCACUAAUGGCAGACAAGAAACAGGUGCGGACCUAGACAGACAAAAACCAAAGAACACAGAAACAUAGAUCGGUGGCAGCUAGUAGACCGGCGACGACGACCGCCGAGCGCCGCCCGUCCGAGGAGGGGCGCCAUCUUCUGAAAUACAGUAUUUUUAGAAUGUCAAAUUAAUAUGCAAUUUGUAUCAUCCACCCACAUGCUGUAUAUAUUGAUUUGUUGUACAACACUGUAAUUGUACACCGAUGUUUGUAGACUAAAACAUGAAUGUCAGUAACAUACAGUGUAUAUACUUACUAUAAUGAAUGACAACGCACCUUAGAUUGAGAUUAUGUGUCUGUUCAUUGACGGCACACAGGUUGGCAUUUUGGAGUAAUAUCCAGUUGGCUGAUCCAGCAGAAUCAUACAAUACAAUGAAGGGUCAAGUAAAAUGUUUUUUUGAAGAAAGGGCAUCAAAGUGAACAAGAUAGGAUACUGUGUAAUGGAUAUAAUGUUUAAGGGACAAGUGGAGGUGUUUAUCCUUGCUACUGUAACUGCAUUUGGGAUAGGUACUGUACAUAGCAUGCCAGAACAAUAAAGAUUAAAAAAUAUUAUGUACUGUACAGU